rnacentral:tmRNA from 1 species
AAAACCCCUAUAUGUGAGGUGUUCCCGGCAACGGGAACUAUGGGCAUAAACGCGCUCGGAAUAAGCGGAUCGGACCCGGGGGCGGUACCCGGCGGCUCCACCAGAUUCCCGUCGUUGGGGGACAGAGGGGCCGAAACAGGAUCGACGAACGUGUAAAGGGGUGGCUUUGUCCCGGUGAGAUACCACCGUUAUCGGUUCAUCAAGCAUAAUUGCCAACGACAAUCGUGCUCCGGUGGCCGUUGCCGCGUAAGCGGUAACCAAACCGAAACCUUGAAGCCCUUGCCUCUAGCAAGGUAAGGCGGGGUUCGCAGGCACCUGGCAACAGAAGCCUG